GACGAACCGUGCGAACGUUAUUCGGAAUCACUGGGCUUAAAGCGCGUGUAGGCGGGCCGGUACGUCGGACGUUGAAAGCCCCCGGCUCAACCGGGGAAGGGGCGCCGAUACGACCGGCCUGGAGGAACGUAGGGGGAGCUGGAACUUCCGGUGGAGCGGUGAAAUGCGUUGAGAUCGGAAGGAACGCCCGUGGCGAAAGCGAGCUCCUGGACGUUUUCUGACGCUGAGACGCGAAAGCCAGGGGAGCGAACGGG
rnacentral:rRNA from 1 species